AGUGAACGCUGGCGGUAGGCCUAACACAUGCAAGUCGAACGGCAGCACAGUAAGCGCUUGCUCUUACGGGUGGCGAGUGGCGGACGGGUGAGGCAUACAUCGGAAUCUACUUUUUCGUGGGGGAUAACGUAGGGAAACUUACGCUAAUACCGCAUACGACCUACGGGUGAAAGCAGGAGAUCUUCGGACCUUUCGCGAUUGAAUGAGCCGAUGUCGGAUUAGCUAGUUGGCGGGGUAAAGGCCCACCAAGGCGACGAUCCGUAGCUGGUCUGAGAGGAUGAUCAGCCACACUGGAACUGAGACACGGUCCAGACUCCUACGGGAGGCAGCAGUGGGGAAUAUUGGACAAUGGGCGCAAGCCUGAUCCAGCCAUACCGCGUGGGUGAAGAAGGCCUUCGGGUUGUAAAGCCCUUUUGUUGGGAAAGAAAAGCAGCAGGUUAAUACCCCGCUGUUCUGACGGUACCCAAAGAAUAAGCACCGGCUAACUUCGUG
rnacentral:rRNA from 1 species